CACGGGUGAGUAACACGUAUCCAACCUGCCGAUGACUCGGGGAUAGCCUUCUGAAAGGAAGAUUAAUACAAGAUGGCAUCAUGAGUCCGCAUGUUCACAUGAUUAAAGGUAUUCCGGUAGACGAUGGGGAUGCGUUCCAUUAGAUAGUAGGCGGGGUAACGGCCCACCUAGUCUUCGAUGGAUAGGGGUUCUGAGAGGAAGGUCCCCCACAUUGGAACUGAGACACGGUCCAAACUCCUACGGGAGGCAGCAUG
rnacentral:rRNA from 1 species